AUUGAACGCUGGCGGCAGGCCUAACACAUGCAAGUCGAGCGAGCGGCGGACGGGUGAGUAAUGUAUGGGGACUGCCCGAUGGAGGGGGAUAACUACUGGAAACGGUUGCUAAUACCGCAUACUAUCGGAUAACCCAUAUGGGAUUAGCUAGUAGGUUGGGUAAAGGCUCACCUAGGCGACGAUCCCUAGCUGGUAUGAGAGGAUGAUCAUCCACACUGGGACUGGGACCCGGCCCCGACUCCUACGGAGGAAGCCGUGGGGAAUAUUGCACAAUGGGCGCAAGCCUGAUGCAGCCAUGCCGCGUGUAUGAAGAAGGCCUUCGGGUUGUAAAGUACUUUCAGUCGGGAGGCGUUACCCGCAGAAGAAGCACCGGCUAACUCCGUGCCAGCAGCCGCGGUAAUAC
rnacentral:rRNA from 1 species